rnacentral:rRNA from 1 species
ACCAGACUCCUACGGGAGGCAGCAGUGGGGAAUAUUGCACAAUGGGGGGAACCCUGAUGCAGCGACGCCGCGUGGGUGAAGGAGUACUUCGGUACGUAAAGCCCUAUCAGCAGGAAAGAAAAUGACGGUACCUGACUAAGAAGCCCCGGCUAACUACGUGCCAGCAGCCGCGGUAAUACGUAGGGGGCAAGCGUUAUCCGGAUUUACUGGGUGUAAAGGGAGCGUAGACGGCAGUGCAAGUCCGGAGUGAAAGCCCGGGGCUCAACCCUGGGACUGCUCUGGAAACUGCCCGGCUAGAGUGCUGGAGAGGUAAGCGGAAUUCCUAGUGUAGCGGUGAAAUGCGUAGAUAUUAGGAGGAACACCAGUGGCGAAGGCGGCUUACUGGACAGUAACUGACGUUGAGGCUCGAAAGCGUGGGGAGCAAACAGGAUUAGAUACCCCAGUAAA